rnacentral:rRNA from 1 species
UACGGAGGGUGCAAGCGUUGUCCGGAUUUAUUGGGUUUAAAGGGUGCGUAGGCGGCUCUUUAAGUCAGUGGUGAAAGCCUCCAGCUUAACUGGAGAACAGCCAUUGAUACUGAAGAGCUUGAGUACAGACGAGGUAGGCGGAAUUUAUGGUGUAGCGGUGAAAUGCAUAGAUACCAUAAAGAACUCCUAUUGCGAAGGCAGCUUACUAGGCUGUAACUGACGCUGAGGCACGAAAGCGUGGGGGGAUCAAACAGG